AUAUGGACGGUUAUGUUUUGAGGGCCGAUUAUUGAGGACAUUGAGGUUGGGCUUAGGAGAUGUUUAAAUUGAGAUAUUUGAGGACAUUAGAGUUUAUGAUUGAGACUUGAUUAUAUCUUAUGCGAUAUUUAUUGAUGAUUUUAGGUUGAUGAUAUCAGUACGCAUUUGUUGCAUGAGGAUGCCAAGAGGUAAGUAAACUAGACUUUAAAAAUGAAUCACAAUAAACAAUAUAUAUGUUUGACUUGUAUGAGAAGCCUAUUUUGAUAUGUACGAAUAUAGAUUUAUAUGUCUCUGAUCAUGUGUUUAUGUGAUGUUUUGUUAUGUAUUGGGCGUGAUUAUGUACAUGGGCAUAUGUAUGUGUGAUGGUCCAUUGGCAUGAACAUAAAAAUGCAUUGUGUUUUCUAUGAAUGAGAAAGUGGAUUUUAGCAAAUGAGAUUUCUGUUUUAUGAGAUUUUGCAUUGGGGGCCAGCUCUUGAAGUUGUGUGGGGACCACCUCUUGAGACUAUGCAGGGGUCAUCUCUUGAGGGCCACAGUGCCGCAAAGUGCCACGCAUGGUGCAAAGUGUCACGCACAGCACAAAAGUGCCACAAUUGCAGAAUAUGUAUUUCAUUGAAAGAAAAUGAGAAAGUUUAAAAGCGACA
rnacentral:lncRNA from 1 species